rnacentral:tRNA from 1 species
UGGGAGAUCGUCUAGUGGCAGGACCGGGGCCUUUGAAGCUCCAGACGUAGGUUCGAAUCCUACUCCCCCAACCA